rnacentral:rRNA from 1 species
UCAGGAUGAACGCUGGCGGCGUGCCUAAUACAUGCAAGUCGAGCGAACCACUUCGGUGGUGAGCGGCGAACGGGUGAGUAACACGUAGGUGAUCUGCCCAUCAGACGGGGACAACGAUUGGAAACGAUCGCUAAUACCGGAUAGGACGAAAGUUUAAAGGUGCUUCUGGCACCGCUGAUGGAUGAGCCUGCGGCGCAUUAGCUAGUUGGUAGGGUAAAGGCCUACCAAGGCGACGAUGCGUAGCCGACCUGAGAGGGUGAACGGCCACACUGGGACUGAGACACGGCCCAGACUCCUACGGGAGGCAGCAGUAGGGAAUCUUCGGCAAUGGGCGAAAGCCUGACCGAGCAACGCCGCGUGAAUGAUGAAGGCCUUCGGGUUGUAAAAUUCUGUUAUAAGGGAAGAACGACUUUAGUAGGAAAUGGCUAGAGUGUGACGGUACCUUAUGAGAAAGCCACGGCUAACUACGUGCCAGCAGCCGCGGUAAUACGUAGGUGGCGAGCGUUAUCCGGAAUUAUUGGGCGUAAAGAGCGCGCAGGUGGUUGAUUAAGUCUGAUGUGAAAGCCCACGGCUUAACCGUGGAGGGUCAUUGGAAACUGGUCGACUUGAGUGCAGAAGA